UAUUCACAUAUAGAAAAAAUACCACGCAUUUCUACAUCUCACCAUAAUUAAUUUGCCAACAAGUGUCUCCAUAUGUAUACAACGGCCAGACAUCAGUGCUUGCUUGCAACAUUCAGGAAACUGAGAACCUCACAAGGCUAGAUUCGUGGCAUUGAUAUUUGAAGCCGGUUGUCUGUGAUGAGAUUUGAAUGGCGAAUAUAUAAUGCUACAACUAUGUUGCACAAAACAUUCCUCAGACACUCCACCGGUUCUGAGAAAUCAACAAUAAGCUAUGUGGAAGAACGCCAUAAUAAAAAUGUGGUGUUUGGUGCCGAAUUAUGAAGAACAGACCCCAAUUUGGUCUAUUUUCUUAAACUUCAAAGACCAAUU